UUUUUCCAUGAUGGAAAAGAAAGUUGGA
rnacentral:piRNA from 1 species